rnacentral:rRNA from 1 species
UACGAAGGGGGCUAGCGUUGCUCGGAAUGACUGGGCGUAAAGGGCGCGUAGGCGGAUGGCACAGUCAGAUGUGAAAUUCCCGGGCUUAACCUGGGGGCUGCAUUUGAUACGUGUUGUCUUGAGUUCGGAAGAGGGUAGUGGAAUUCCCAGUGUAGAGGUGAAAUUCGUAGAUAUUGGGAAGAACACCGGUGGCGAAGGCGGCUCACUGGCUCGUAACUGACGCUCAUGCACGACAGCGUGGGGAGCAAACAGG